rnacentral:rRNA from 1 species
CAAUAGCGUAUAUUAAAGUUGUCGCAGUUAAAAAGCUCGUAGUUGGAUUUCUGGUUGAAGCGACCGGUCGGGCGUUGAUUCGUCUGCACUGGAGUCGGUUUAGGCCAUCCUCUAGGAAAGUGCGUCUGGUAUUAAGUUAUCGGGCGUAUGAUCCUGGUCUUUUACUGUGAAAAAAUUAGAGUGUUUAAAGCAGGCCUUCGCCUUGAAUACAUUAGCAUGGAAUAAUAAGAUAGGACUUUGGUCUAUUUUGUUGGUUUGCAGACCGAAGUAAUGAUUAAUAGGGAUAGUUGGGGGUAUUUAUAUUCCGAUGUCAGAGGUGAAAUUCUUAGAUUUUCGGAAGAUAAACUUAUGCGAAAGCAUUUACCAAGGAUGUUUUCAUUAA